rnacentral:rRNA from 1 species
CAGCAGCCACGGUAAUACGUAGGUGGCAAGUGUUGUCCGGAAUUAUUGGGCGUAAAGGGCUCGCAGGCGGUUUCUUAAGUCUGAUGUGAAAGCCCCCGACUCAACCGGGGAGGGUCAUUGGAAACUGGGAAACUUGAGUGCAGAAGAGGAGAGUGGAAUUCCACGUGUAGCGGUGAAAUGCGUAGAGAUGUGGAGGAACACCAGUGGCGAAGGCGACUCUCUGGUCUGUAACUGACGCUGAGGAGCGAAAGCGUGGGGAGCGAACAGGAUUAGAUACCCCAGUAGUCCCUGUCUCUUAUAU